CGAGUUAUCUGAACCUUCGGGGGACGAUAACGGCGUCGAGCGGCGGACGGGUGAGUAAUGCCUAGGAAAUUGCCCUGGUGUGGGGGAUAACCAUUGGAAACGAUGGCUAAUACCGCAUAAUACCUACGGGUCAAAGAGGGGGACCUUCGGGCCUCUCGCGUCAGGAUAUGCCUAGGUGGGAUUAGCUAGUUGGUGAGGUAAUGGCUCACCAAGGCGACGAUCCCUAGCUGGUCUGAGAGGAUGAUCAGCCACACUGGAACUGAGACACGGUCCAGACUCCUACGGGAGGCAGCAGUGGGGAAUAUUGCACAAUGGGCGCAAGCCUGAUGCAGCCAUGCCGCGUGUGUGAAGAAGGCCUUCGGGUUGUAAAGCACUUUCAGUCGUGAGGAAGGUAGUGUAGUUAAUAGCUGCAUUAUUUGACGUUAGCGACAGAAGAAGCACCGGCUAACUCCGUGCCAGCAGCCGCGGUAAUACGGAGGGUGCGAGCGUUAAUCGGAAUUACUGGGCGUAAAGCGCAUGCAGGUGGUUUGUUAAGUCAGAUGUGAAAGCCCGGGGCUCAACCUCGGAAUAGCAUUUGAAACUGGCAGACUAGAGUACUGUAGAGGGGGGUAGAAUUUCAGGUGUAGCGGUGAAAUGCGUAGAGAUCUGAAGGAAUACCGGUGGCGAAGGCGGCCCCCUGGACAGAUACUGACACUCAGAUGCGAAAGCGUGGGGAGCAAACAGGAUUAGAUACCCUGGUAGUCCACGCCGUAAACGAUGUCUACUUGGAGGUUGUGGCCUUGAGCCGUGGCUUUCGGAGCUAACGCGUUAAGUAGACCGCCUGGGGGAGUACGGUCGCAAGAUUAAAACUCAAAUGAAUUUGACGGGGGCCCGCACAAGCGGUGGAGCAUGUGGUUUAAUUUCGAUGCCACGCGAAGAACCUUACCUACUCUGACAUCAGGAGACUUUCCAGAGAUGGAUGGUGCUUCCGGACUCUGAAGAACAGGUGCCUGCAUGGCUGUCGUCAGCUCGUAUUGUGAAUGUAGGCUUAAGGUGCGCACGAGCGCAACUCAUUAUCUGAUUGCAGGACCUCGGAUGGAUAAGCU
rnacentral:rRNA from 1 species